rnacentral:lncRNA from 1 species
CACCAACAUUUCUUACACAUUAGCACUAAGGGAACACUGAAUGACCUGCUGGUUUUUGUCCGUAAAACUACUCAUCUAAGUCUGUGAAGGUUCUCAGUCAUCCAGGUCAUCGUAGUCAAAGGAGUUUGCAAAGAAAAGCGUCUGGACUUCUUUAAGUUGCUUGAAGACGUUUCACCUCUCAUCCGAGAAGCUUCUUCAGUUCUAAGGUCAAAUGGCCGAGAGUCCCAGAUUUAAACCCAGUGGGAGUUUCCCCCCAAAGAGGGACAAAGGACCCCCUGGUGAUGCUCUAAUCACAUGAGCCAAGGUGUGAAAACGGGUGUGGGACCUGGCUGAUAGGGCUUUGGAGUUGACGUCACUGGGGGUGGGCCACGCCCCCUUUCCGCCAUGACAGUAGGCUAGACACAGGAUACAGCUUCAGCUAUGGUUCGUACGUGUUGUGUUAUCAGUUGCAACGUUUGAUCACACGAUCGUGAAGGCAAGAAGCUGGAUAAUGGGCUCUCUUUUCAUCGUUUUUCAACCUGGAGGCAACGUGAGGGAUCCCAUGUAUCCGAUAUUACUAAACAAAGACGUCAGGCUUGCAUUGCAGCGGUGAGACGAGCGGAUCGAGUUCUGUGCAAUCCCCAGCUUUUUGUUGGUUUGGUCUCUGCAUCUUCUUUCCGCGCAUACACAGCAAACCAGUUUAAGAAUUAUAAAUCCCUGGAGGCUGUUGAGAAAUCAGUUUCGCCCCGGUUCUUUGAUUCGUCGAGGGAUCCAGAAACGGUGUUGUGCCAAAGUAGUUACCCCCGUCAAAAAUUGUUUCCCCAUCCACGAGAGCGCGCAAAGUAGGAGGAGCCACUUGCCCAGCUCCGUUCUGUACGCUACUUGUCACUGAUCUGCAGUCGACGCAAUAAAGAGUAAAAGCUGGAAAACGGCAGGCUCGAUUAAUUUAAUAUUAGUUUCGUGACAUUGUAAUGUGCCGUGUGGAAGACAAUUUACAUUAAACUGUACACUGAAAUAACCUGCUGGGAAUACUUUGUCUAGAAAAAUACUUUGAUACUAUAAUACUGUAAAACCAGACGCGAUCAUGGAAACACGUCGCUCUCCGGUGAAUUUACACUCGGUUUACAUUUUGUAGCGAAGCUAUCACGAAGGAGUUUAUUUGCGAAAUCAAUCACAGUAUAACCAAUAACUACAGUAACGUUGGAGAGGGUUUCUUCACAGCAAAAGUUAUGGAGGGAUACAGAUUUUAUCAGGCU